GACGAACGCUGGCGGCGUGCUUAACACAUGCAAGUCGAACGAAUUUGCGAACUUGUGAGUCACGCGUAAUCAACCUGCCCUUCAGAGGUGGACAACAGUUGGAAACGACUGCUAAUACCGCAUACUGAAGGGGGGGCUUGCGUCUGAUUAGCUAGUUGGAGGGGUCACGGCCCACCAAGGCGAUGAUCAGUAGCCGGACCGGGAGGAGGAACGGCCAAAACGGGAAUGGGGAAAGGCCCAGAAUCCUAAGGGAGGCAGCAGGGGGGAAUCUUCCGGAAAGGAAGGAAGUCUGAAGGAGCAAAGGCGGGGGAGUGAUGACGGCCUUCGGGUUGGAAAGCUCUGGUAAUCGGGAAGCGGUACCGGAAUAGAAAGCCACGGCUAACUACGUGCCAGCAGCCGCGGUAAUAC
rnacentral:rRNA from 1 species